rnacentral:rRNA from 1 species
UACGGAGGAUGCGAGCGUUAUCCGGAUUUAUUGGGUUUAAAGGGUGCGUAGGCGGGCUGUUAAGUCAGCGGUCAAAUGUCGGGGCUCAACCCCGGCCUGCCGUUGAAACUGGCGGCCUCGAGUGGGCGAGAAGUAAGCGGAAUGCGUGGUGUAGCGGUGAAAUGCAUAGAUAUCACGCAGAACGCCGAUUGCGAAGGCAGCUUACCGGCGCUCAACUGACGCUGAGGCACGAAAGCGUGGGGAGCAAAUAGG